AACGUAGGUGGCGAGCGUUAUCCGGAAUUACUGGGCGUAAAGCGUGUGCAGGCGGGGGGGUAAGUGGUGGAUGAAAUGUCCCGGCUCAACCGGGAGGGGUUAUGCCAGACUGCAUCUCUUGAGUGCGAGAGAGGAGCGUGGAAUUCCGGGUGUAGUGGUGAAAUGCGUAGAGAUCCGGAGGAACCCCAGAGGCGAAGGCGGCGCUCUGGCUCGCAACUGACGCUCAGACACGACAGCAUGGGGAGCGAACGGG
rnacentral:rRNA from 1 species